UGGACGUAGAAAAUUGGACAAGUGUCGUCUGCUCUGUGCUCUCGUCAGAAAGCCAGAGACAAAAUUCACGAUUGUUAUAGAUUUAUUUGUUUUUUAUAACCAUCAUACUCCAUGCUGUUUAUCGGAUUUGAGCCCAGAGCCAGCCAUCAUAACCACACAAUAUGCAAUUUUGUGUUGUGCAGGUGUUACCAGCAACAAUCCCAGGAUCAUCGAUUGUGGGAUAAAAAGCAUCCCCCCAUAAAAUGGAUUGGCAAUCGAGUUAUGGAUCUCUCUGUUUCCCCUUUCUUUAAAUGUACUCGUGUAUGCCCAUGUGAAUGUGGGUAUAUUCACGAGGGACACCCUUUUUACCCUAUCCCGUCUGGUGCCAUUUAAGCACCAGCUUAAAGCUCUUCAGCGGAUGGAUGGAGCAACUUUAGAUACCUGGCUGUAUUU